rnacentral:rRNA from 1 species
GACGAACGCUGGCGGCGUGCUUAACACAUGCAAGUCGAGCGGAAAGGCCCUUUCGGGGGUACUCGAGCGGCGAACGGGUGAGUAACACGUGAGUAAUCUGCCCUGGACUCUGGGAUAGCCACCGGAAACGGUGAUUAAUACCGGAUAUGACGCCUUGCUGCAUGGUGGGGUGUGGAAAGUUUUUUCGGUCCAGGAUGUGCUCGCGGCCUAUCAGCUUGUUGGUGAGGUGAUGGCUCACCAAGGCUUUGACGGGUAGCCGGCCUGGGAGGGUGGCCGGACGCACUGGGACUGGGACACGGCCCAGACUCCUACGGGAGGCAGCAGUGGGGAAUAUUGGACAAUGGGCGGAAGCCUGGUCCAGCAACGCCGCGUGAGGGAUGACGGCCUUCGGGUUGUAAACCUCUUUCAGUACCGACGAAGCGUGAGUGACGGUAGGUACAGAAGAAGGACCGGCCAACUACGUGCCAGCCGCCGCCGUAAUAC